AGAAACAACCUCUGAUAUGACCGUCCUCUGAGGAGGAGGAGGAGUUGCAGGAGUUGGAGAAGAUUGACUCCAUCAUGGCAGUCAGGCGCAAUCUCGUCCUUCAAAUCUCUGUUCUCUUGCUCUAGAUGUUCCAUAAUCCUUAGAUGAUUGGUGCAGGUAUUAUAUCGAUCAGUCAGCUUGGCUGAAACGUAGAAGAAGAACCAAUAAGACAUCUGGCGAAAGAGAAACAUGCUUAUGCAAAUGAUGCAUGAAAUGCAAUGCUUGAUUUUUUUUAAAACUAUUUUAUUUGAAAAUAUAUAAUAAUAACAACUGCACAAUUUUAUUGACCAUAAAACCUCUUUUAUUUAUAUAAUUGGAAGGAUUACACUGAGUACAAAUUCAUAAACCAAAAUGAAAAAUACAAGAGAAAAGGAGACUAAUCAUCCUAAGGAUCCCUAACAACAAUAUCAGAAGAUCGGGCCGCAGGCGCGUACUUCCUUCGGAUGAGUCGGAUCUCGGACUCGAAAGAUGUCUUCAUCUUAGUCUUCUCAAGGAUAAGCUGGUCAACAAUAUUCUUCUAAGCAACGGAAGGCUGAGGUAUAUUAGAGGAAGAUGAAAUCUCUGGCUCUCUUUGCCUCUUCAUUAAUCGGUCUUCAAGAAGCUCAAUAAGUGCAUAUUUGUUCUUAGACUCAAGCUACAACUCCUCAUGCUUUCUGCUUAAAGCAUGGAAACUCUCUUCCCAUGUAUCCUUCUCUUGCUUCAUCUUGGCGAAUGCGUCUUCCAACUCCUCUACAUAUUGGUUAGGGAGAUUCAAUGGCUCAGCCACAACCAUAGACAUAGGUCUUUCACAAGCAUACGCCAUCUUCAAUUUCAAAGCUAUCUUCUUCACCCAAAGAGUGUAAGCUUCUAAAGCUACACAAUUGCGCGGACCAAGCUCGGAUCUUCCCUUUCUAUGCAUAUUAUGCCAAGCAUGUACAAUCUUCUGCUUCAAAUGUUGGGGAUCUUUACCCUCUUGAUAGAAAAGGCCUUCUAACAAAGUGUUAUUAGGUUUAUCUCUCAAUGGGGAACCUAAGUUGACGAUGAGCCAAAGCAGGGUUGUAGUUGAUUCCUCCUUGUGUACCAAUGAUGGGCACAUUAGAGAAUUAACCACAAUAAUCAAUAAUCUCCACACUACCCAAUGCAGAAUCAUACCAAACUAUAUCAUUAUUAGUGAGAGACAUAAGUCUCUGAGACCACCAUAAACAUUGUUUGUUUUCCAUAAAAGUAGGUGUCUGAGGCGAGUGCUAAAUAAACCACUUGUGCAUAAGAGGAAUGCAACAGACGAUAGUUCCACCACCCUUAGAAUUCCUUAGAUGCAAAGAGAAAUACAUUUCUCCUAACAGAGUAGGCACGAGAUUCCCAAUCAAGAAAAUUCUAAUGGCGUUAACAUCAACAAAACCGUCAAUGUUAAGGAAUAAGGCUAAGACAUAGAUGAGCAAUAUAAAGAUAACUUCAAAAGCAUCCACACUACCAGCUUGAGCCAAGGCAGUAGCUUCCUUGAUGAGGAACUCAAAAGUCAAUCCAAACAAUCCUCCUUUCUUCACCCAAUGAGUCUCUAUCUCAGACUUCUUCAAGUGAAGGGCUUCAGCUAUAAGAUGAGAUAUGGGAAUCUCUUCCAAUCCACUAAAAGGCACUUUGCUAGAAACAGGUAUUCCCAAGAGACGGGCAUACUCCUCCAACAUAGGCACUGGCUGCUAUCAAGAAAAGUGAAGCAAUGAUAGAAAGGGUCAUAGAACUGAACCAACACACUUAAGAGUCCUUCAACCACAUCAGCAGACGUAAUAGACAGAAGCUUCCUAUGACGUUGCUUGAAGUCCAAGGGAUCUAAUACAAAAGAUGACAGCUUCCUUAACUCUUUCAAGUCUGGACAUCUAAAACUGUACUUUUUAGUGUUCUUUCGUCCACAAUCCAUGGUCUAAAAAUAUUUGCAAAUAAGACCUCAGUUCCUUGAAAUUUUUGGUGUGAUGAAUGUUAUGAUGCACAUGAAUGCAUGAAUACAACAAUCAUAAAUAAGGGAUCACACACAAGGAAAACAAACAAAGGUCAAGGGAUGAAUCAAGUCAUUGUCAAGAUCAAUCAUCCAUUUUGGUGGAUUAUGGCUUUCACCUUAUCAACACCCAAGUUCCAUUGAUAUAAAAUAAGGGAUCACACACAAGGAAAACAAACAAAGGUCAAGGGAUGAAUCAAGUCAUUGUCAAGAUCAAUCAUCCAUUUUGGUGGAUUAUGGCUUUCACCUUAUCAACACCCAAGUUCCAUUGAUAUUGACAAGACUUGAUUGAAUCAACCAAGAAUCAAGGGUUUGUUGUGAGUCACGAGCAUGGAGUCUGGGUAAGAACCAUCCCAAAGGAGUGUACUAAAGGUAAAACUUAUAGAUCAUGUUCUAAAAAGAUCCCAGAGUCUUAAUUCCAUCUGUCAGAUAUUACAGGUUAGGAUGACUGACCCAUCAACCCAUUGUAAUACCCCAAAAUUUACCUUAUAUUUUUCUUGGAAGCAUGGGAUUAUUGUUUCACCUCAUUAGCAUUAUAUUAGGUCAUACUCAUUGCAUACUACAUUAGUGACAUGGCAAAUCAGGGUUUGAUCGACCACUCCUUAACCAGAGGGAGCCCACAGAAAGAAAGACUGAGAAUGGGACUUCAUUUUCUAUGUAUAAAAGUCUCAAAGGUCUCAAGGGGUUCCAUAUGUCUUAUUGUGAUCCACAGUUCAUCAGCGGAAGAUUCAGAGCUCUCAGAGUGUGCAUCUGCAUUUAAUCAGAAAUUAGGGUUUCAUGGCUAUCUGCAACAGGCAAUGUUUGAUUGUAAGUAAAGGGGGCUCAUUCAUGUCAUGAUUAUAGAGGCAUCUUGGCCUAGUAAGAUUCACAAUUAUCUCACAAAGAUCCAUUGACAAUCAAUGCAAUCAGUUCCUAGUCAUUUUUGCCCUAAACUAGGGUUUGGUAUAAAAUUGGUUUAUUUCUGAUUCCUUGGGUGAAACUCUUUUCCAUGGACCUCCAUAUGUCCACAAGGGUCUACAUACAAAAAAUCAGCUCUUUAUUUGAGCUAGGGGUGCUUCAACUGAUCAAUGGAGUUAGGAAUCAGACAGUUUGGGAAAAGUCAACCGUGGGGCCAAAAAAGUCAACUCCUGGCAUUUUGAAAGUGGAAUCUCAAAAUUCAUGCCUAAGGAAGCCUACAUGUGAAAUUUUAUCAAGGUUGGAUCAUGGAUUCAUCAUUUAAUCAGGAGUUGGAAAAGUUACUAAAUUUGGAAAUAGUUGACUUUCCAUUUAGGGCAAGUUUUUAUGGUUUUUGCACCCACUUUAAGCCCAUAUUCCAUCAAGAUGCAUGAUCCAUUUGAAACUUUCUCAGACAUUAAAGUUGUUCCUCUUGUUCCAAGCUUUCUAGAGAUAUAAAUUUUGUUUUAUUUGGAUUAAAAUUGAGAAAGUUAUGCUUGGUCAAAGUGGGACAUUAUUUUAGGACACUUAGAAAAUUUUCUAAGUCCAAAAUUUUCAAAAUUUGUCAAGACUUAUGGGCCAGAUUUCUUGCACUCCAAGGCAUCUUUUGAAAAUACUUUUUUUCAUGAAAGUUGUACCUUGCUAUAUCCUCUUUCACAUCCUUUUGGAAUCAUCCCAUUUGGAUCAUUAGUUUGAAAGAUACACUCAUCUAAAGUUGGUAUCAUAGACUGAAUUUUUUGACAGCAUUUAGGCCAAACUGGCCCAACCAUUCUGCAGUUGUGAGAUCUGCACUUUAUGGCCAUUUUUCACCUUUGUCCACUCAUCAUUUCAAUGUGUGUUCAACAUGAAAGAUGUUAAGCUCCAUGCCCUCUUUCUACUGUUUGCAUUGCCUUGCCAUUUGGUUACAUACUCAUCAAGAUACAAGGUCUUAAAGUCACCCUGUUGGACUAUUUUUGUGCUGACUACUGUUUGCAUUGCCUUGCCAUUUGGUUACAUACUCAUCAAGAUACAAGGUCUUAAAGUCACCCUGUUGGACUAUUUUUGUGCUGCACAAGCCAAACCAAAUCAGACCACAAAACCAACCAACACGCUUUUUACCUCAUUUGGCCAUUUGCUUUAUGUUCACUCACUUAUGUUUUGCUACAUUUAAAACUUGCUCAUACCACCCCACUUUUUGCAUCAUUUUGUCAUGAACCAAACCAAGCCUUUCAAGCCCAUUUUAAACACUUUGAAUCCAACAUAUAUAAGCUUAGAAACCCUAAUCUGAGAGAGAGGCUGCUACAUUUUCGACCUAAGCAAGAGCAAGGCAAGUGGACAAGGUUGCUCUCUUUCCAUUUCUAUUCACAAGUUUGCAAAGCACCUCAUUUUCCAUUUUCCUCCAUCUUCAAGGGGCAGUGGACCUUACAUCCACCAGGUAAGCAUCUUUUCACUCUCUUCCAUGGUAAUAUUUCAUGCUCACACCAUGCCAAGCACCUCAUUUUCCAUUUUCCUCCAUCUUCAAGGGGCAGUGGACCUUACAUCCACCAGGUAAGCAUCUUUUCACUCUCUUCCAUGGUAAUAUUUCAUGCUCACACCAUGCCAUGCUUAUGCUUACUCUUUGUUUAUUUCAUGUUAUCCAUCCUUGUUUCGUGUUAUGUUUCAUUUAUGCCAUGCUUGUUCCAUACUUAUUUUCCAUGUUAAUACCAUGCCAUGAUUGUUUGUAAAGCCCUCAACAUGAGGCAUGUUCAUUAAGUUGGAGUUUGUGACAUUAUUUUUUUGUUGAAUCCGGGUGCAUGAAGCUCCUUUGCUGUUCACUUUUCUCUAUGCUAAGGCCAUUAUUUUUAAUGAAACAAAGCACCAUUGUGUUCUACUCACUUUGUACUAGAACUUUGGUUUUUACAUCUUGCCAUUUCGUGAACCAGAGCGCGAGCAAUGUUGGUUUGAAGAUGAGCGAGAGUAGGCUGCGUUUCACGCGUUUCCAGCAUGCAUUUAAGGCUUUUCACAUUUGCAUGAAGGAUUGGGAUGUGUCGCGCCAACAGCCAUUCGAUCCCAUGUGUCCCUUGUAAUCUCAACUGUCCGCCCUUCUUUUGUCCUGUAGUGGCUUUAAAUGAAACCUUGUCCAAUUGACCAGCACGUUCACAUGUUUUAUUAAAAUGAACAUUUUAUUAUGCAAUGUCACGCUGAAUAAUACUUGGGCUGGGCUUAGCGCCUGCUAUCCGCCCCCCACCCAUCAAACCCAAUUCCAUUUCAUUUUAUUUGCUUUUUCAAUUCAUUUUAUUUUUUCUGUUUUGUUUUUUAAUUCUUAAAAACAUUUUAUUUAUUCAUAAAAAUAUCACAAAAUACUUUUCACUUUCCUUAAUGUUUUAUUUAAUUUCCUUAAUUUUUAUUUUCAUAUUUUAUUUAAUGUUAAUAUUUUAUUUUAAUUAUUUGUUUCAAAUAGUCCAUUUUAACACACAUUUUUUCAUUAAUUUUAUUUUCAUGACUUAAAAUUAUUUUUAGAUUUUGAUUUUUGGGAUGAGGGUUGACCAAUGUCUCAUGGUCAACCUGAACCUUUCUUGGAAUUUUAUUUCCCAUUUUCAUAUUAUUUUGGAUUUAUUUUUGACCUAGUUUGCUUGGUUGACUUUUCAUUUGACUUCUAUUUCAUUUCAAUUAAUUUAUACACUAAUUCACAUUAUUUUUGAAAUCUUUUUAGGGGAUGAUGAUGUCCUGACCCCACCCUAGUUAGUUUAAUUUUUCAUAAUUUUAUUGAUUAAUUUACUAUUUAUUCCAUAUUUUUCAAGUUGACUUGACUUUUCAGUUGACUUUUCUAUGAUUGAUGUUUGACUUAGGGAUUGCUUAGGGAAAUUCAAGAGUAUUUUGAUCCUCCCUUGUUUAUCUCAUAUGCCAUGUAUUAGAGGCCUCUCAUCUUGAUUUUAUUUGAUCCUUGUAUCAUUUCCCGAUUAAGUUAUUCAGUGAUCCUUUGUGUGCAUAGUUUCACCUGUCUGUUUCAUCUGAUAUUUUUUAUGCUUGUUUCUUUCAUCCAUGCUUCCAUUGUUUGAUUGUUUAACAUGUUUAUACUUCUCAUGCAUUGUCUAAUGCACAUUCAUUAAAUUCUUUGAUUAUUUGAUUUGAUCAUAUACUUGUUUAUAUAUCUUAUUGUUUGAUUGAAUGUGGCCUACUUGUAUGAUGUAUGAGGCACGUAUUUUUAUUGUGUGAUUGCCAUGAACAACCCCCAUUCAUAACAAAUGUACCCCUCUUCCAUUGAAGUGUAUAAUGUUUAUUCUUUCAUUCUUUAUUCAUCUGUUAAUACAAGAAUUAAAACUAACACCUGAUAACUAUUUCAAAACAAGAUCAAAACCUCGAUCCAACGUCGAGUAAUCAUUUUUUCCAAACUUAACACAACCAGCACGUAUUCAUUCAUCCUUUUGUAAGUCGAUUGCUUCAUGCAUCGCCAUUUCUCUUGUAAGUCGAUUGCUUUAUGCAUCGCCAUUUACCUGUAAGCCGAUUGCUUCGUGCAUCGCCAUCUACCCUUUACCCCACUCCUUUCCUUGCUCCAUUCGUCGAUUCUUGUUCCGUUUAGGUAGCACCCAUUAGGUAGAACCCUUUGUAUGAUAACCUAGGUAGAAUUCCCUCAUUCUUUGUAUGAUAACAUAGGUAGAAUUCCCAUAUUCUUUUGUAUGAUAACUUAGGUAGAAUUCCCUUAUUCUUUGUAUGAUAACAUAGGUAGAAUUCCUUUAUUUCUUUUGCAUGCUAACAUUAGGUAGAUAUUCCCAUUUGUAAAUCCUAACACAUAAGUACAUAUUACAUGACAACUCUAGGGCAGAGCUUCCCCAUUCUUUUAGACCUUCCGUGCGUCUCCGAUCCUGUGGCAUGUCACUCCGUUCUAUUGCAAAGAGGUAACUGCCUAAGACUCGAUUCAGCGAGCUGCGACACCUACUGCUACGACGUGAACACAUUGCCCACUCUCCUUUGACACAACUGGUGUCUUCCUUUUUAAGUCCAUGUUCAGAUGGCAAUCCCUAUGUAGCCGAACUAGGACAACUCUGAUUCUCAUGUUCAAAUGAGAUACGUAGGCACAAGAUGAGAUGUCUUGCCGAGUUUGACUAACGACUAACAACUAAUCCUUGCUUGCUUUCGCCCUUAUUGCGAUUCUUUUCUCUCUCCCUCGUUGCGAUCGAGACCUUCCCUUUCUCUUGCCCUAGUUGCAAUCGAGACCCUUAUUCCCAUAGUUAGCUGAACUACGUUUUACUCUGAUUCUCAUUCCAGAUGAGAUACGUAGGCAUAAGACGCAAUGUCUUAACGAGCACACAUCUCUUUAACCCAUAGGUAGCCGAGCUACGAAGACUCUGAUUCUCAUAUUAAGAUGAGAUACGUAUGCAGUGGAUGCGACAUCCGUGCGAGUCAUUUUAUUUUGAACCUUUCUUUUAGUAAAUAGUACAUUAGAUAUACCUAUACCCUUUAGACAAGAACAACAAGAGUGGAUCCCGUAGAGUACUACGGAUGCGUAGGGGUGCUAAUACCUUCCCUUCGCAUAAUCGACUCUCGAACCCAAGAUUUGGUUGCGGGACCUUGUCUUUUCCUUUCCUUUCUUCAGGUUUACUUCGAGCGUUUCCUUUCCCUCCUUUGGGAUAAAUAACGCACGGUGGCGACUCUUCUGUCAUUUCUUUUCUCGCCGGUUGUCUUUUCGCACAUCUAUUUUUUUUAGGCUGCGACAGCUGGCGACUCUGCUGGGGACCGAACCCAGAAUAUCUGGUUUCCCUAAGCGAGUCCCUCCUAGAUUUUGUAGGUUCCUUGUUUGUUGGGUGUUUAUUUCUUUUGUACAGUUAUUUAUUUUCAGCAUUUACCUGCUUUAUCUCAUUGCAUUGUGUACAUAUCAUUGCCUGUAUCUGCUGUAUCUGUGGGGUUGUUUGUUUUGUUGGGGUGGGAUGUUUUAUGAGAGAUAAGCCCACUACCCAGGCUUGAGCGUACACACAGGCUUUAGAGUGGAUAGUCAUGAGGCUUGCGUGGCAUGUUGCUACGUUAAGUCGUUCAUGAGACCCACAUCCAGACGAGGUUUCUUUUGGAUAUAUUAUGUCCUAUGGGUGUUCCAUAACGACAGGUGUUCCUCUAGAAAUCGUCGACUCUGGUGACCAUUUCCCGAGAACUUAGUCGAGGCCUCUCCUCCGAGACGCGUUUAUGUUAGCUCUGAUGGGCGCAUUCUCGCUGCGCAAUCCGAGGACCCCGAGACUGGGAACUUGCUUUAGGAUAUCCUAUUGAGGGGAGUCAGUGGAGGCCUUUUGUCUCGUAAUAAUGCCAAACCUUCAGUGGUAAACGUAUUAUUCUUGACUGAAGGGCUGAAGCUGAUGAACUUCUAUUCUUAGAACCUACCAGUGAGGGGCGGGCUAAAUUCAGGAAACCUUAACCUUCAACCAACCCGGUUUUCUGGAGCGGAGCUUUGAUCUCGUUAUAUAUUCUUCAGUGGGUUUCUCUUCAGACAGUGCAACCUGACAGCUAUCCGAGCAGAUACAACAGUCUUGAUUUCUAUGUCACUGCAUUGCAUCACAUCAUUUACAUUCACAUCAUUUAAUACAUGUUUAUCUACUUCUAGGGUUUAUAUCUUCCUCUUGAUUCCGGUCGGGGUUUUCUGGUUCUCCUAGGAUGGAUAUUGGCAGAAAGAGACACGUCGCCUACAAGUUUCAUGUGGUUUGUUUGGAGCCUAUUCAACAGCUGAUGAAGUUAUUGGAGCACGAUUCUCUAGAAGGAUUCCGGAAGGAUUACGGUUUGAUUCUAAGUUUCGUCACAAUUCUCUCCAAAGAUCAACACGAUGCUGUCUUUACUCUACUGCAGUUCUAUGACCCUCCAUUGAGGUGUUUUACAUUCCCAGAUUAUAUCUUGGUCCCUACUUUGGAGGAGGUUGCUAGUUUUCUCAGAGUUCCUAUCAAGUCACAGUUGCUAUUCUACAGUUCCGAAUUUCUGCCCGAUAUCAGCAUGGUUGUUUCGGCCACAUAUUUGGGGAAAUCAGUCUUGAAGUCUAAUAUGUGUCAGAAGGAAGGAGUCAGUGGUUUUCAUUUGAGUUUCUUAGUGGGGGAAGCCAAGAAGAAGCUUGAAGAUGGUGAUCAAAGGGGUUUCAAUGUUGUGUUGGCUCUUUGUGUGUAUGGGAUUGUCCUGUUCCCUAAUGUUGCAAAAUUUGUGGACACAGACGCAAUACGCCUCUUCAUGUUGGGAAAUCCGGUGCCGACCUUGCUAGGAGAUUUCUUUCAUUCAGUGCAUCAUAGGAGUGAGAAUAGAAAAGGAGGAUUGGUGAAUAAGUGGUUCAGUUCCCACCUACCCAAGUCAGGAGCGUUCGUUGAUCUCAAGGACUCGUUGAGUUGGUCGAAGAGACUGAUGGGGAUAAGAGCUAAAGAUAUUUCUUGGUGGUCAGACCAGAACUUGCUCCGGGAGGAUAUCAUUCACAGUUGUGGGAACUUCCCGAAUGUGCCAUUGGUAGGAAGAAGUGGAGGUAUCAACUAUAAUCCUUCUCUAGCAGUCAGACAGUUUGGAUAUGCUUUAAGAACUCCGCCUUUGGAAAAGGAUGUGGAAGAAUCUUUGUUUUUCCAUUCUUCAUCUGAUCUGACUGUAUCCCGUAAGGCAGCUGAGGCCUGGCUCAAGGUGAUCAAGAGAGGAAGGAUUGUGCUUGGAAAAGGAGAUUGCAGGACUUAUCCUCAGUAUGAAGAUUGGCUUCAGGGAAGAGUUGAAGAGUUUGGUCUGCCGUUUCCUAUUGAAGAACCUUUGUAUCCACCUACUCCUGAGCAGUCAAAAUGAAGAUUGGCUUCAGGGAAGAGUUGAAGAGUUUGGUCUGCCGUUUCCUAUUGAAGAACCUUUGUAUCCACCUACUCCUGAGCAGUCAACAAUGGUGAGCCGAGAGGAGUAUGACAAAUUGAAGAACGCCAUGGAGGAACUUCAAACUGAAAACUCGGAGUUGAGUGCAAAGUUGCAAGACUGUAUGCAUCUAUACCAUGAGGCGGAAUAUCAGAAGGGGGAGGCUAUCAAAUUGCGAGAGGAAGCAGAGAAGAAAUUAGCUAUGAAGGUGGACUUCUUCAGGAAGACUGACAAAGCCUUGGGAUCAUCCAGUUCUGAGUUGAGGCGAGUCAAGCAGCAGUUAAUGGAUGCCCAUGGUAAGUUAGCUGGGUGGCAAGAGCAGUGGGAUGCAUUUUCAGCUUCUCGGAAGGCGAAAGAGGAGGAGAUGGUGGCUGAAUUGACUGGUCAAAUGGAAAAAUUGAAGACUCAGCUGAAGGAUAAGAACAAUGAGCUUCUGUGUGCCCGUUCAACUAAUGGUUACGUCACAGAUCAAUUCAACAAGGCUCAAGAACAGAUUGAAGAACUCAAGGUGUUGGCAGGUUUGAAGAGGUUUAAACUUGAAGAGGUGUUCGGGGAGGAUAAUGAGAAUUACUACUUAGAGCACAUCAACGAACUGGAUGGGAUUAUUCACUAGAGGAAUUUGCUUAUCCGGCGUUUGACAGAAUCUCCAGAUCAUCCUGACACAGUGGCACUACUGGCUGAAGUGAGGAGAAGUCCUUAUGGGUUGUAUACAGGGAGAUGAUUCCUGGUUUCUAUUCCUCUCUUUACUUGUUGUGUCUCUUUAUUGCUUUAUAGUGAUGACUUGCAGGCUUGUUGUGGGAAUCCUCUUUUGAUAUACUGUUGGCUAAGGCCUUUCUCUUUGAACUCAUUUGUAUGAAGGUUUUCUCUCUAUUGCAUCUGGAUCUCAGAAGCUUAUCCACGACUCGGUCUGCUUGCACUUUUAUCUGAUGUGAGACAGGAAUCAAGGGGGUAAAACACCCUUUGGAAUUGAUAAACAUGUCAUUGCAUUUACAUAUUCAUUUGCAUGUCUUGCAUAACAGGUACCGCUGCGGUGUUCUCAUAUUAUUUGGUGUUCCACUAGUAGGAUAACUGACUCAGGAAUUCACCGGUACGGUACUCGCAGAAAUCAGCAGAGAGCAAUGGAAGACCUACAAGCAGAGCUCGCCGAGAUGAGAAUCUGCAUGACCCAAUUCAUGGAUGUGGUUCAGGGAGUGGCUCAAGGACAGCAAGAGCUCAGACAGAUGAUACAAAGGAAUCCCGCUACUACUCAACCAGAGACGGUGACUGAUCCUCCAGCUGGAGAGGUUAACGGACCCAGUGGACCAGGGCCUACCCCGAUCCCACAUGUCAACUCUGGUCAAUAGCCCGUCCAUGAUGAUCAGGACGAUCAGUUCACCUUGAUGCAGGAGGAUUUUGGCAUGGGCCAUGGCAUGGACCCCAUGUUCAGGAGAUUAGAGGAGAGGCUGAAGGCAGUGGAAGGACAGAACCCUCUGGGGGUAGAUGUUGCUGACUUGGGGCUGGUCCCAGGUGUGAGGGUGCCACCAAAAUUCAAAGUUCCGAUAUUUGACAAAUACAAUGGCAACUCUUGCCCAAAAACUCAUGUGCAAGCCUACUUCCGUAAGAUGGUUGCAUACUCCGAUGACGAAAAGCAGCUUAUGUACUUUUUCCAGAAUAGCCUAGCUGGGGCAUCCCUGGAAUGGUAUAUGAGGCUGGACAGAGCCCACAUCCGUUGCUGGAGGAAUUUGGCUGAGGAUUUUGUAAAGCAGUAUCAGUACAACGCUGAUAUGGCACCGGACAGAACCCAACUUCAAAACCUGUCUCUCAAGAGCAACGAAUGCUUCAGAGAGUAUGCUCAUCGCUGGAGAGAGACAGCUUCCCAUGCUCAACCUCCUAUGUUGGAGAAGGAAAUGGCCAACAUGUUCAUGAACACUCUGCCCAGACCUUACUUGGAGCGUCUGGUGGGUUGCAAUGCCUCCAACUUUGUUGAUGUAGUCUCUACCGGUGAAAGAGUGGAGAACUAUUUGAAGACCUGCAAGAUCCAGAAUGGAGUUAGAUCAUCAUCAGGGUGAAAAAGCCGUUCAUUCAGGGAGAGAAACGGAGAGAGGGGGAUGCUAACUCUUUGUCUUCAUAUCAGAGCAGGGGUUUCAGAAGGAACAGUUUUCAAAAUUAUCAUCAACAACCGUAUGUUGCGGCUAUGACCAUUCCGGCUGCGGCACCAGUGCAACAACAACAACCACAACGUCAACCAACUCAAUACCAACAACAACAACAGGGUAACAAACCCGCCUAUCAACAGAGGCAAAAGAUGAUGGAUAGGCGUUUCGACACUCUUCCAAUGUCGUACACUCAGUUGCUUCCUAGCCUUUAACAGCUACAACUCGUGCAGUUACGCACUUUGGCUCCUCCUGUUGGCAGGCUUCCAGUGGGCUAUGAUGCCAACGCUAGGUGUAACUUCCACUUUGGGGCACCUGGCCACAAUAUUAAGAACUGCAAAGCUUUUAAGCACGUAGUUCAGGACCUCAUCGACUCGAAGGCUAUUAACUUUGCGCCGACUCCUAACGUCGUCAACAAUCCCAUGCCGCAGCAUGGUGGUGCAAAUGUUAAUAUGCUGGAAGGAGAAGCCAGGUCCGUAAAGGAUGUGUUGAAGUUGAAGACUCCACUGUUGGAGAUUAAAGAACACCUGCUGAAGGCCGAUGUUUUCCCCGGUUGUGGGAAGGGUUGUUUGGAUUGUGCUACACAUAGCAAGGGUUGUCUGAAGCUGCAACAAGGUAUCCAGGCCUUGCUUGACAAUGGUAUCCUCCAAGUUGAAGACUUGUCUGUUCAAGAGAUUGUUGAAGGGGUUGCUGGAGAGGUGUUUGAAGAUGCUGUUGAAGAGUUCACAAAUGAUGAUCCUUUUGAUUGUGUAAUUCCUGAUAAUAUAUUUAAUUUUGCUGAUGUUGUUGCUGAUAUCCCAAACAAUGUGGUUGAUUCUGAUGUAAUUGAACUUGAUUCCGAUGUUUCGGAUGUUUAUGUUUCAAUGAAUGAGAUUUAUGAGUAUGACUGUGGUGUUGCUACUAUCACCAUUUUCUAUCCAACUGCUCAGAUCAGUGUGCCAGAAGCACAACCAGUGCGACCGUCCACUAUGACCAUCACUAGCCCUGGUCCUUUACCUUUCACCAGUGAAAGAGCCAUUGCUUGGCAUUAUGGGGGGAGUGUAUAUACGCACGAUUAUGGAGUGGAGCAGCCACUGAAAAUAGAGGAGGUGCAAAAUCAGAAGGUUGAAUCUGAGGUGGAAAUAGAAGGUCCCGUAGUGGACAAUGUCAGUGGAAUCGGGCGAUUCACCAGGAGUGGUAGACUGUUCUCACCACCGGUUACCCAAGCCGAUAAUGCUGACGCCGCGGUGAAAGCCAAAGGCAAACAAGCUGUGAAUGAGGGUACUUCUGCACCACAGGCUGGUUCUGAGCCUGCUUUUACGAAGGAUGUGGACGAGCUUUUGAGGAUCAUAAAGAAAAGCGACUACAAGGUACUCGAUCAGCUGAUUCAGACACCGUCCAAGAUAUCUAUUCUCUCACUCCUGCUAUGUUCGGAGGCACACAGGGAGGCACUUCUAAAGGUCCUUAAUGCUGCUGUAGCCGUGUAUUCGUCACCAUCGGAAAUAUUAACUAGAUCCGAGGUAAAUCAUACAAUGAAUCGUGUCGCCACCGCACUUCUAUUUAUCCAAAGGAAAGGUUAGAAAGCGAACAAAAACCUAAAAGUUUUACAAACAAAACUAGUAAAAGAAGGUCAGAGAUCUGGGUAAGGGGGUUGGUUACGCAAUUGGAAGGUGUUAGGAACCCAAAACGUCCUAGGUACUCCUAGGGAGCCCUUUUCACAACUUGUUAUAGAAAUUAUUUGUUUAUGAAAUUUUUAUUGUGCAAAAAUGAUUGAAGAGAUGAGAAAAGAAUGUACAAGUUAUUUACAUUUUUGUGUUUGGAUGGAUGAAACCCAUUGCCUACGUGCCUUUCAUGAAAGAUAAGGAUCAAAACACCGUAGUUCGGCUAAAAGAUUUCAAAAAGAUGAGUGGGUUGAUUUUAAACAAAAGCCUUAAGGUCUUUCGUUAUCAAAGGGAGAAAACUCAACCUAAAUCAACAACAAGUCCACCAUGUGAGAACAGAAAGCCUUAAGGUCUUUCGUUAUCAAAGGGAGAAAACUCAACCUAAAUCAACAACAAGUCCACCAUGUGAGAACAGCUUCAACAUGCUAGUGAGGGGUUAACCCUAUAAUAAGCAGGGAAGUCUUAUAGUUCAAUCACUAAGGACAAAAGGUGAGAUUCACAUCAACCACUAAGAUAACUCAGAUAUAUGGCUAAUGCAUGAAAACUUGAUUAAGAAGUGGACAUGGGCCACAAAAGACAAUUGAGUGAGUGGAAUUAACCAAUUAGAAGUAUUCACAAACAUGUCAAAGUUGAUUAGAGAUUCAAUUCACAAUGAGUGUUAUGAAAAUAAAGUUUGAAAAUCAAAGGCAUAAGGCCUAGGUUUCUAGUUUGAAAACAAGUCAAAUGUUUGCACAAUAGUUUUCUGGUUUUGGGUUAAGGAUGAAAAUAUGGAUCAAGGUUAAGCAUGCAAGAGGUGAUGGUUAAGGGACAAUGCCACAAACAUGGUUACUUUCUCAAGAUCAUAGAAAUGAUCCAAGUAAGUUCCUUUGGAAAAGGUCAAGCACAAGGGCAAAAAGCAAGAUAAAGCAUGGUAUCAGAGAAAAAUAAGCAAGAGGAAACAAGAUGCCAAUAGCUGGUCUUACACUCGACUCCAAGGAAAUGGAAUGCCAAUCAAUGGUCUUACAUCCAACUCCUAACAACACAAAGGAAACAAAUGCCAAUAGCUGGACUUACAAUUGACUCCUCAAAGGACAAGAUAAAUGUCACAAAGUAUGACAAUGAUCAUGGUAAUGAUAUACAAGUAAUGCUCAAAAAUAUAGAAACAAUGCACAGAGGCACACACAAACAUCAAUGCACAGAUGAACAAACAAUCACACACUAUACACAAACAAGAGGCUUCACACAAGGGUGGGCUUUAGUCAAGGGGUCAUAUCAACCUCGACAAACAAGCCAGCUGUAUAAGUGUAAAUAGAUGCUCUUAACCACUAACAUUGAGAGUUAGGGUGAGAGAUGAAACGGGAAAUGAGGAUUAGACCUCAUGGAUCUUAACCCUGGCCUGGGUGAGCUCAAGACACUAAAGUGUGGGGAUCCAGAAUGAGGAAUCCUAUUCCACAUGACUGACUCAACAAGAUUUUGGGUGUUUAUUCAGAAGCAUCAGCACAUAGUGCGAGCAUAAUGAAAGACUCAACUGAAUAGCAGGGGAUUGAUUGCAAAUCCCUUCUAUCUGCCAAUUGCCUCUUCACUCAAGAGGUCUUAAUAUGUAACCAUGCCUCAUUGAGGUCUUUAGCACAAAAUUAAACAAUCAAGAACAUGGCCUCUUAAGGAGGGCUUCAGACAGGUGCCUGCCAAAGAUAGCAGGACUUCCAGACUACAUGGAGUUAGAGAAGUUACCUAAGUGGUAUACCAACCACAAGCAAAGCAAAGCUCAAGUAAUGAGCUAAAGCGACUAAAGUACCUGUACAAAAGGCUAGUCAAUUAGUAACUCAGACAGAUAAACAGAAAACAGACAAAACCAACAGUGGUUCCCAAUAUGUACAUAAAGCAAGUCCUAAAAGGCAAUCAUUCAAGUGAAUUCACCACCAAAGGACCUACAACACAAUCAAAGUUAGUUAACCAAAUUAACUUGCAUCUCAAGUAAUGAGAUCACAUCAAUCAUUAUGGCUAAUUUGCUUGAACCUGAAAUACAAAGCUCAAAAGGUGAGUACAAACCACUAGUACAAAGACUAUGGUCAAAGGCAAAGCAAAAAGUCAAAACAGAAGUUGAUUCUCAACAUGAAGCACAUUUAAUCAAGCAAGAACAUGUCCUAAAAAGGACCAAGUCUAAAGCAUCAAGCAAAGUCAUCACGUGAGCAAGAUAUGGCAAAGGCAAUUACAAAGCACACAAUUGGACAUCAAGAAUCAACAUUCCAUAUUAAAACAGAAAUGGAUCAAACAAUCAUGAAUUUUUUUAUGUGUGCAUAACAUGUUAAACACAAGCAUCAUGCAAAAUAUUAGAAUUAUAAGAGAUCAAUUGACAUAUCAAUGAAAAUGAACAAGUAUGACAUAAAAUUGUGUGACACACAUUGUCACACCAUACAUUCAUGUGCCUAAAACAGAGAUGAAAAAUGAUAAAAAUGCACAACCAAGCCUCAAAAAUCAUGUAACAUGUUAGGAAUCAACAUGCCAAAUUUCAAAUCAAUUGGCCAAUGUAUGAGCAUUUCACAAGAGAAUUGGUACAACAUGUCACACUUGCAUACAUGCUCAAAUAACAGUCCACAAUGAAAAAACCAGAAAUGAUAAAAUCAGGAAAUCACAACCACAAAAUAAUAGACAUCCAAAUGAACAUGUAGCAAAAAAUUGGAAGUGAUUUGGAUUAAUUUUCAAUUUAUUAUGAUUUUUUGAAGUUGGAUAAAAAUAUUUGAAAUAAUGUGAAUCAUGCACAUGAUAAUUGGAGGGAAAUGAAAUUGGAUUGAUGAAUUUGAAAAAAUGCUGGAGCGGAGGAUCGAACCAUGUACAUGAAAAAAGAAGCGCUGAAACAAAUAAAUUCCAAAAGUGGCACAGCCAGGAAUCGAAGGAGGUGUGGCGUUUUGUACAAAACGCAGCGUACCACUUAAUGAAGUGGCACGCCAGUCAACAGGUCAAGCCGCGUGGGAUUGGUCAAAGAGAGCGUGGCCUAUCAAUUUGACAACAGGCAAAGGCGUGGCAGCUGACAAGGCAAUAAACCCUAGCAUUUAAACACAGCGGCGGCCAGCGGUGGUUUCCACCGUCUUCUUCAUUGAGACGGUGGUGCUACAGUAACGUGUUCAUCAAAAUUCUCCAGAAAACAACAAAAAGCAUACCAAUCGAAAGCUUAUUCUAUGUACAACACGAAUCCAGGCUCAAUUCACAGUAAUUCCUCAUAACCAGUGCAAAUCGAAGAGAAAACAUAAUUGUAUUCAAAACUUCUACUCAGCAUAACUCAAUCAAUACUCAACCAUUUCAAAUUCUAAAAGCAUCAGGAUAAUCAGCAUGAAAAGAUCUACCAUAACAUGUGCAUAAAAUGGAGAAUCAUGAGGUUCGAAUUCUAACCUCUUUGAAGAGAAGAAGAUGAAAACAAGUGAUUCAAGUGCUCAAACGAUCCAGAUCCACUCCUAUGUUGAUGACUUGAAGCUUUAUGUAUGAAUUGAAGCUUGGAAAGGCUUGGAUCUUGAUCAGAUUGCAACUUCCAUCUUCAUGUUCUUGAGCUAAGUGCUCAAACGAUCCAGAUCCACUCCUAUGUUGAUGACUUGAAGCUUUAUGUAUGAAUUGAAGCUUGGAAAGGCUUGGAUCUUGAUCAGAUUGCAACUUCCAUCUUCAUGUUCUUGAGCUUGUGCAGCUUGAUUCUGGCUCGAAUUCUUCAAAUCAAUUGCCAAAUCCUACUCAAUGACACAUGAAGAACACGAUUCUACAAGAAUUUUGAUGAUUUAGAUGAAGAAUUUUGAAAAUUGAAGAGAGAGAAAUUUGAGAAGGAAGUGAAAAAUCUAGAUCUAGAAUGUGAUUCUUCAGAAUUCUGUUAUGAUUUAGGCUUUAUACUCUGUCCUAAUCACCUUGCUAAUCAAAAUUUGCAUUGGUUAAUUGAGAUUAAGAUAAAAUGAGGUGCAUGGCAAAAUAAGUAAAAACACCUAUGCAUGGUAAGGCACACGUGAACAGUGCCAUAUGAAUGUGUAAUUUCACUUAAAAUCAACUCAUGCACAUAAUUGGAUUGGAAUUUAGCUCAUGUAAUGCACCAAAUUUGAAAUAUGCAUUUUCCCUCCAAAAUGAACAUGCAUGGACAAAUGAUCAUGUGAUUAAAUUUCAUGUAAUGCAAUGUUGGAUUUGGAAAAUAUAUGUCAUGACAAGCAAUAUGCAAAAAGAGGGACUCAUUUUAGAGCUUUGGUUCAAAAGUUAUGGCAUGUUGAAGUUCCAUGCACACUUGGCAAUCAUUUGAUCAUAAUUCUUCAACCAUUCAUCAGAUGCUCAUGAUCUUAGGCUUUUUGGAAAUGGGAGAGAAAGAUAUUCAUCUUUCAUUUUCAACAAAAUUUCAUUUGAAGCUUCCUUGAUGUUGGAAAGUUUGGUUGAAUGUGAACCAAAAACUUGCUAUUUUUGGAAACUUGAAAUUAUAGGUCACUUUCCAUUUUGGGAAACUUUUGACUUGACUUCAAAAUCUUCAAUAUGGAUGUUUGAAAUGAUGAAUAGGCAUUGUUUGAACAUGAAUGAGGAUGUUAAGAUCAAUUCCCCAACCUCAAAGCCUUCAAUUGAUGUUCAGUUGAUUGUAUUGGGCCUCAGAUGACCUGAAAAUGUCUUGAUGAAUUUGAACCUCCACCACUUGGAAUUUUGCUUCCAAAUGAAACCAUAGCUCAUAAAGCUCAACAUAAUCACAUGGUGCAUGUCUCAAGAAAAUACCAUCUGCCUUCUCUGUUACAAGGGAUGCUCAUGAAUGGCUUGACCUGUGCUUGCUUGAUGCUACAAAACAAAAUGUUAGAUGACAUAUUUUUGUACUUUUGUUUAAUGAUUAAACAAGAAAAGCAAUGAUAUACAAUGCAUACAAUGCCUGGUGAUCUCAAACCACUCAACAGGAUAUCCCAUCCAAAGCGAAAGAAAGCAAGAAGCUCAAAAGAUCCUUGAGGCUAUGUAAUGCAAUGAUAUGAUGCCAUGGGGGAUCUUAGGGACAAAAUUGGGGUCUUACAGAUGCCCCUAUUUAAGGUCAUUCAAGCCGGAGAAGUGAAGGUUAAAAUCUUCAUCUUGACGCGGUAGAAUGGGCUUAAAUAAUAACAAAGAGACAAAUUUUGGUCCCUAAGAGACCUCAUGGUGCAAAUGUAUGAAUGCAAAACAAACUAUCUCUGUGGGAAUAUAUGUCCACAAAGAAGAAAAGAACGAAUGGAUAAAAAGAACAAAUCCCAUGAAAAGUUCAUUCUAUGGGGGAAAGAUCCUACUGGGGAACAGAGGAUCAAAAAUACGUGAGCAGGUCACGAUUUAAAACUGGGGAAAAAGGGUUUCCAGAGGGAAUAAAUCCAUUGGAAAGGCUCGAAACUGACUCGAAGGCGCACGUAUUGGGGAACAUGCCAAUACAGCAGAAUUAUCCACAAAGGAUACUUCGGAUAAAAUCUGGAAACAGACUGAGUAAGGAUGAAUAAAAUAUCCCUGCCGGGGAAAAUGCAUGUAUUGGGGAAUAUUCCCAAAACAGCAAAACUAUCCACAAAGGAUACUUCGGAUAAAAAUCCGGACACAGAGGGGAACAAUCCACUAAGGGACUCCACUGGGGAUGUCUAAAAAGACAAUCCUGGGGAAAUAACAGGAAUGAGGUGUUACCGGUUACUGGGUAACAAACUCAGGAAGAAAUGAAUAUCAAAGACCGGUAUGAGGGUGAGAGAUAUCAAAACUUCAAACAUCUGAGGAAGACCUGAAAAGGUAUAUUUCGACUCAGGAAAAUAUGACUCCACAGGGGACAAACAAUCACAAAAGGGAGCAGAAAGGAAGGAACACCAAAGAUACCGGGUUGUAGGUAUGUAAAAGGUGACCGACCGAGACGUGAAUUGGUUUGUGUUCUAAAACACUCAUCAUCCUGAAGAGAGCUGAAAAGCAAACUUGUUUAUAGGAUGGACAUUCGACUCCACGAAAGUGAAAUACGAAUCUUACUCUGCUGGAGAAAACAAUCAAAAGAUUGACCAAAGAGUGCAUGAGAUAUAUUAUCUAUUACCGUCAAAACAUAGAUAAUAUACUCGCAUGGAAGAUUAUCCACAACCGGGUUGUAAGUUGUUAAAAGAUAAAUCGACCGAAAGCGUGAAUUGGUGUGUGUUCCAAAACACUCAUCAUCCUGAAGAGAGCGAGACGCAAACUUGUUUAAAGGAUGGAAUUCGAUUCCGAAACAAAGGAAUACGAAUCUUACUCAAUUGGGGAAGGACAAAAGGCUUCAACCAAAGAGUGCAUGAGAUAUAUUAUCUAUUGCUGUCAUAAUGUAGAUAAUAUACUCGAAAAGGAAGAAUCACCAGGGAUACCAGUUUGUAAGUAUGUAAAAGGUGAUCAACCACAGAAGUGAAUUGGUGUGUGUUCCAAAACACUCAUCAUCCUGGAAGAAAGCUGAAAAAGCAGACUUGUUUAUAGGAUGAACAUUCGAUUCCUGAAUAAAAAGGAAUACGAAUCUUACUCAGCUAGGGAAGAAAAAACUCGACCAAAGAGCGCAUGAGAUACAUUAUCUAUUGCCGUCAAAACAUAGAGAACAUACUCGCAUGGAAGAUUAUCCACAACCGGGUUGUAAGUUGUUAAAGGAUGAAUCCCCCGAAAAGAGAAACAAUCAUUACCAAUAACAACAGGGUAGACGAAAGAUGACUCACUGGGGAUAAAUUGCAAGCAUACGGCAAUUAUCCAGGAGACAUAUCACCGGUUACUGGGAGAUAUGCUCAAAAGGGGUAAAAAUGAAUAUUCGAUUCCGCAAGGAACAUGGAUCUUACUCAACUGGGGAAACACAACAGGCUUCGGCUGAAGAGUGCAUGAGAUAUAUUAUCUAUUACAGUCAGAACUUAGAUAAUAUACUCGCAUGGAAGAUUAUCCACAACCGGUUACUGGGUUAAUAAAGGAUAAAUUGAUCGAAAAGAAAGGCAUCGGGAUACCAAGACUAGGUAUAUAAUGAUGACCAAUCAAAGGUAGCAACAGACAUUACCGGCAAAAGGGUAAAUGAAAGCUGACUCGCUGGGAAUACAUUGAUGAAAAUCAAUGAUCCGGGGAAUACAAUCACUGACAAACGGUGAAAGGAUCCGCUGGGGAUAAAAUUGCUAGCAUACAGAAAUUAUUCACAAGAAGGAGGGAAUAUCAAGACCGAAUAUUGGAUAAUGAUAACCACUACAGAGGGGAUUACAUCUACCGAAUGCUGGGUAGAAAACCACGGAAGAGUAACCGUCAUCGUUUAGGAUGAACAACAAGGUUAACUCUGCACAGGGAGAAAAUAGGAUUUACAACUACCGAAUACUGGGUAGAAGACCAAAGACUUAGCUGAGGAUAAGGCGAAUGAUUGCCGAUUACUGAGCAAUUAUAUACCGAAUACUGGGUAGAAGACCAAAGACUUAGCUGAGGAUAAGGCGAAUGAUUGCCGAUUACUGAGCAAUUAUCCAUCUAACCACAGAGAAGCACAAACUCCGAUGGGGAGAAAAACAACAACAUAGGAUUUACAACUACCGAAUACUGGGUAGAAAACCACAAAAUCCGCCAUCAACCAGAAUGAACCACAAAGGUUACCUCUGCUAGGGGAUGAAAGUAGGAUUUAUAACUACUGAAUACUGGGUAGAAAACCACAAAGAUAGGACUUACAACUACCGGUUACUGGGUAGAGGCCAAAAAAGAUAGGACUUACAACUACCGGUUACUGGGUAGAAGCCAAAAAAGAUAAUUCCACCGGGGAUAAUUUGAAUGAAUUAUUCAUUUAUACCACGGGGAAGCACAAGAGACAGUUGCAAAAAAGGCCAAUUCAGGAUCAAACUAAAAAAGAAAACUGAAUCAAGACUCAUCCUAAUGAGGAUAUAACUCAAUAGGAAAAUCCGUCCCAAUAUAUGUGUUGGGAGGAAACGGAAACAAAUCGUCGUCCACGAUGAUGUAUCUCAGUGGGGAAAUGGCAGGAAAGGAUAGACACUUUCUGCUUAUGGGGCUGACUCUAAAUGGGGAGAUCAGACACACCGACAUCUGCUUGGGGAGAUCUACUGGGGAGAUCUAUAUCGCCAAUUAGCAGGAGACAACAAGCAAAAGAUAUAUGGCAAAGAAUGCAACAUGAAUAUCUGAAUGUUAUGAUUAUGCAUGGUUAUGCGUGAUUUAUGCUUGAUGAAUGAUGACAAACAGACAUAUCUAACACAAACAGGCCCAGGGAACAAACGCCCGGUACUACACCACAGGAGAGAAAGCCAGGAUCACCAGAGAAUAAUCAAUUCUGACGGGAUCAAGAAACAGCAAGAUCUCUGCAAGGGAUGAAUCAUCAUAAAUAAAAUCCACCACCACAAAUCUACUGGGGAUUUAUCCGAGGAAGAGAAGGAGAACUGGGGAUCAACCACCAAACAUCAAUCCUUCUGAAAUACCACAUCUGCUGAGGAGGAAUGAAUCACUGCUCUGCUGAAGGGAAGGGAGGUGAAAACCUCAACAAGCACUCUGAAUGAGGAGGAGUCAUCACAAAGACUCUGCUCAACAAAAUCUGCUCGGGAGAAAAAUCUCAACAGAAACUCCGCUUGGGGAGAAACCCCAACAACAGUCUGGAGAAAGAGGAUACAGCCAAUGCCAGGAAUAUGAACAAAAGUCUUACCCUGUUGGAAAUCAUGCCACCCUCGGGAGAGCACUGAGAAUCUCUUAGGUAUCCUUUCAUCAUUGUGAAUGUUCACUUUGUUUAAAAACAAUUUUGAAAAAGUUUAUUUGUUUGAAACAAUGACAUUUUAUCAAUUAAAACAUGCAAAACAUUUGUUGAAUUGAAACAAAUAAGAGUGCAAAUAAUUGGAUAAAAGCUCAAAUUGAUUUGAUGGAAUGGUAGCCUGCAAAUGGCAAGAUCCAUAAAUCGAUAUACAAUUUGAAUCGGUGAUAUAUUGGAAGAGGGCUACAUUGAACAUAAUGACAUUUCUCUACCAAUUUGAAUCGAUGUUAUUUGAAGCUUCAGUUGAUGAUGACUGAGCGAGAUCUCUGACGAAAAGACAGUGUGUGAAACAGAAAGUCUUGUCAGAUGCAGUUACUUGCCAAUCCUAAUUCUGCCUGAUUGCCCAGGAUGAGGUACUCAAUCUAGCGGGAUGCAAAAAUCAUUUUUUUUUAUGUCUCUAAUUUUUGCCUGGAUCGCCCUUCGGGUUUUCAAUCCACCGAGACACUCAUUUUGCCUAAGUCGCCCUUUCGGUUUCAACCUAGCGAGCCAUUCUUCUUUUUUUUCUUUUUCUAGGCGAAUAUUUCUUGACUACAUCUGAAUUCACAGGACGAGUGAAUCCUCCCCAUCCAUAGUUGUGAGCAUCAAAGCUCCGCCUGGAAAAGGCUCUCUUGACAACAUAUGGCUUCAUAGUUUGGAGUCCACUUGCCCCUGGAAUCGGCGCGAAAGACAAAACUUUCUUGAGCCAUGAGGUCACCUUCCCGGAACACACGAGGCUUGACCUUCUUGUCGAAUGCUUUCUUCAUUCUCUGCUGAUAUAACUGACCAUGACACAUGGCAGUCAAUCGCUUCUCUUCAAUCAGAUUCAACUGUCAUAACGACUCUGAACCCAUUCACCAUCAGUCAAUUUGGCUUCCAUCAAGACUCCCAUUGAUGGGAUCUCCACCUCUACUGGGAGACAACCUCCAUGCCGUAACAAGAGAGGAAAGGGGUUGCCCCUGUUGAAGUGCAGACAGAUGUACGAUAUCCAUGCAAAGCAAAUGGCAGCAUCUCAUGCCAAUCUUUGUACGUAACAACCAUCUUCUGGAUAAUCUUCUUGAUAUUCUUAUUAGCAGCUUCAACAACCCCGUUCAUCUUAGGUCUGUAUGGAGAAGAAUUAUGGUGUGCAAUCUUGAACUCAGCGCACAACUCUUCCAUCAUCUUAUUAUUCAGAUUAGAUCCAUUAUCAGUAAUGAUCUUAUUUGGCACAUCAUAACGGCAAAUAAGCUGAUUUUUGAUAAACUUCACGACCACCUGCCUGGUCACAUUCGCAUAUGAUGCGACUUCAACCCAUUUGGUGAAGUAAUCAAUUUCUACGAGAAUAAACCUGUGUCCGUUGGACGCUUUCGGUUCAAUCAUGCCAAUCAUGUCAAUUCCCCACAUGGAGAAGGGCCAUGGUGAUGAAAUCACAUUCAGAAGUGUCGGAGGAAUAUGAAUCUUGUCCGCAUAAAUUUGACACUUAUGGCAUCUCUUCACAUAUUUGCAGCAGUUAGACUCCAUUGUCAGCCAAUAGUAGCCUGCUCUCAACAUCUUUCUAGCCAUGGCAUGUCCAUUGGAAUGACAUGGUUUACUUGGGAGUACCUGGAGUCAGUAGUUCAGGUCUGCUUCGUGUCUAUCCACGCAUCUGAGCAGAACCAUGUCAAAGUUUCUCUUGUAAAGCACUUCGCCAUUGAGGUAGAAACUGCCUGACAAUCUCCUCAAAGUUUUCCUGUCUUUCACAGAUGCCCCAAGUGGGUAAAUCUGGCUCUGAAGGAAAUUCUUGAUAUCAAAAUACCAAGGCUUAUCGUCUUUAACUUCUUCAACUGCAAAUAUAUGAGCUGGUCUGUCCAAGCGCAUCACAGUGAUAUUGGGAACUUCAUUCCAAUACUUCACCAUAAUCAUGGAAGCAAGCGUAGCAAGCGCAUCUGCCAUCCGAUUAUCUUCUCGAGGAAUAUGAUGAAAGUUAACUUCAGUAAAGAACGUUGAAAUCCUCCUCACAUAAUCUCUAUAUGGAAUGAUGCCAGGCUGAUUCGUCUCCCAUUCACCCUUGAUCUGAUUGACAACGAGGGCUAAAUAAUCAUACACAUCGAGAUGCUUGAUCCUCAGAUCGAUGCAUUCCUCCAAUCCCAUAAUACAGGCUUCAUACUCAGUCAUAUUAUUCGUGCAUUUGAAAGUUAGCCUUUCUGUAAAAGGAAUAUGUGUGCCCUGAGGAGUAAUGAUUACUGCCCCAAUACCAUUUCCGUACUGAUUUACAGCGCCAUCAAACACCAUCGUCCACCUGGAACCAGGUUCUGGACCUUCAUCAAGUGUAGGCUCAUUGCAAUCUUUCAUUUUCAAAUACAGAAUCUCCUCGUCUGGGAAGUCGUAAUGAACUGACUGAUGAUCUUCAAUCGGCUGGUGUGCCAAAUGGUCAGCCAAGAUACUACCUUUGAUAGCUUUCUGAGCUCGAUACUCGAUAUCAUACUCAGAUAAAACAUCUGCCAACGGGCAAUUCUCCCUGUUAAAGCAGGCUUCUCGAAGAUAUACUUGAUUGGAUCCAUUCUGGAUAUUAACCAAGUUGUAUGAUUUAUCAUGUACUGGCGUAGACGCUUAGCGGACCAUUCUGGAUAUUAACCAAGUUGUAUGAUUUAUCAUGUACUGGCGUAGACGCUUAGCGGACCAAGCCAAAGCACAACAUGUCUUCUCAAGCAUUGAGUAUCGAGACUCACAAUCAGUGAACUUCUUACUGAGGUAGUAGAUAACACACUCUUUCUUUCCUGAUUCGUCUUGCUGACCAAGGACGCAACCCAUGGAGUCUUCAAGAACAGUCAGAUACAUGAUCAAAGGUCUUCCUUCUAUAGGCGGAGACAAGAUCGGAGGUUCAGACAGAUAUUCCUUGAUACUAUCGAAAGCUUUCUGGAAAUCCUCGGUCCAAUCAUGAGACUGAUCUUUCUGAAGGAGCUUGAAUAUCGGCGCACACGUGGCAGUCAUGUGGGAUAUAAAUCUGGAAAUAUAAUUCAAGCGGCCAAGAAAACCUCGGACUUGCUUCUCAGUUUUGGGCGCAGACAUCUCUUGUAUUUCUUUGACCUUUGCAGGAUCAACCUCAAUACCUCUCUCGCUGACUAUAAAGCCCAAUAACUUGCCAGAACGGACUCCAAAUGUACACUUGUUCGGAUUCAGAUGAAGCUUGAACUUCCUCAAACACUGAAAAAGCUUCAACAAGUGCUCUACAUGCUCAACUUCCGUUCUUGACUUAGCAAUCAUGUCAUCGACAUAGACCUCUAUCUCCUUGUGCAUCAUAUCAUGAAACAAGGUAGUCAUAGCUCGUUGAUACGUGGCUCCGAAGUUCUUCAAACCAAAGGGCAUCACUCGAUAACAGAAUGUUCCCCAAGGUGUGAUGAAUGUUGUCUUCUCCAUAUCCUCGGGUGCCAUUUUGAUCUAGUUAUAACCGGAAAAUCCGUCCAUAAACGAGAAGACUUUGAAUUUAGCUGUAUUGUCUACCAACAUAUCAAUGUGUGGUAGAGGAAAAUCAUCUUUCGGACUAGCUUUAUUCAAAUCUCUAUAAUCAACACACAUCCGGACUUUUCCGUCUUUUUUAGGUACGGGCACAAUAUUGGCCAUCCAUUGAGGAUAUGUAGAAGUCACCAGAAACCCCGCAUCAAUUUGCUUCUGAACUUCCUCUUUGAUCUUCACUGCCAUAUCUGGAUGAGUUCUUCUGAGCUUCUGCUAUUUGCUUCUGAACUUCCUCUUUGAUCUUCACUGCCAUAUCUGGAUGAGUUCUUCUGAGCUUCUGCUUCACAGGCACGCACUCAGGCUUCAAAGGCAGGAAAUGUUGCACAAUAUCAGUAUCUAGACCUGGCAUGUCUUCAUACGACCAAGCAAAGAUAUCGAAAUAUUCUCGUAGCAAACUGAUCAACCCCUUCUUAACAGACUCUUCAAGGAGUGCCCCAAUCUUCACUAUCCGAACACAAUCUUCAGACCCCAAGUUGACUGUUUCCAGAUUUUCGAGAUGCGACUGAAUGAUCUUCUUUUCAUGCUCAAGCAAACGGGAAAUCUCAUCAGGAAUCUCUUCAACAUCAUCUUCCUCUGCUUCAAAUACAGGGAAUUCAAGAUUGGGAGAUGGCGUUGGAUCAUUAUGUUCAAUGGGUUUAAGAAUCAACCUGCAUAAUGAUUUUGGAUAAUGAAAAGCUUUAGAAUUUAAACAAACAAAUCAUUAUGCAGAUGAAAAGAUUGCUUUUAUUCUUGUUUAGGAUUUUUUGUGAUCACCGAUUUCAUGCAAAAGCAAAAAGUGAAAACAAUUGAAAAACAAAUGUUUAACAUGCAUCAAUUGAAUGAAAAUAUCUUUUUAUAUAUGAUGCCAACAAUGUCAUCACUCCUCCUUUUGGCAUGAGAGAAGGGUUUUUAAACAAAGCAAAGAUAUUACGCUGACUUAUGAACGGCCGUAGGAACAUCCACAACGACCCAAUUGUGGCAGACCCCACCAGGGAUAACAAAAUUGUCAGAAUCCUCUGCAUCCUCUUCCAAGAUAGCAGCAGCUUCUUCAGCUUGAGCAGCGUGGAUGAAACCUCCACUCUUGAACAACCCUUUCUCAUUGAAGACCCCAGAAGAAUAGCCAAUGCCAGCCCGGGACUUGUUAUCUUCAAGCUCAAUCAUUUUUCCUAAACCAGCAGUUGCACCACAUUCGAUGGCCAACUUCGCAUCUUUAUAGGAAGAAAAUGAAGGAGACUUCUUCUCAAUUGGCUCAGCAAUAGAUAAAGCUUGGAAUGGGGUUCCAACUUCAUCCUCAGCAUCAAUGUAUGAGAAGGAAGACAAGUGGCUAACCAGGAGAGCUCUUUCUCCCCCUACCACAACCAGUUUUUUAUUCUUGACGAAUUUCAGCUUCUGGUGUAGGGUGGAUGUCACGGCGCCAGCCUCGUGAAUCCAUGGUCUACCAAGGAGACAGCUAUAUGAUGGGUGAAUAUCCAUAACCUGAAAGGUGAUCUGGAAAUCACUUGACCUCGUGAAUCCAUGGUCUACCAAGGAGACAGCUAUAUGAUGGGUGAAUAUCCAUAACCUGAAAGGUGAUCUGGAAAUCACUUGGUCCAAUCUUGAUUGGGAGAUCAACUUCCCCAAUCACAGUCUUGCACGACCCAUCAAAAGCUUUCACAACAACACCACUUUGCCUUAUGGGAGGCCCUUGAUAUGACAAUCUAGAGAGAGUGGUCUUCGGCAAUACAUUCAGAGAUGACCCAGUGUCCACCAGUAUGUUGGACAUGGCGUCGUUCUUGCAAUUCAUGGAUAUAUGUAAAGCCAUGUUGUGCUCUCUUCCCUCCUCAGGGAGAUCAGAGUCACAGAAACUCAAAUUGUUACAAGCAGUAAUGUUUGCAACAAUGCUAUCGAAUUUUUCGAUUGUGACAUCGUGAUCGACAUACGCCAGAUCCAAAACUUUUUGCAGAGCCUCCUUAGGGGUUCUGAAUUCAGAAGCAAAGAUAGCACGAAUAUCUUGGACGGCGUUUGUAGAAGUUGAUCUACAACAUUGUACUCACUCUUCUUGAUGAGCCUCAGCAUCUCAUCACAGUCUUCAUUCACAGUGCCACUAGGGCCAACAGAAGUAAGAGUCUUUUUUACAAAGGAGGAUUUAACAACAGGUGCUGGAUUCGGAGGAUUCACCGCAUUCCCAACCGGACGCUCAACAGAAUCAGCCCUAGCCUGAGGCUUAGGAGGCGCUGAAAACACACGACCGCUACGGGUCAACCCACUGACAUCAUCAAUGUUCACAACAGAGGAUGAAGGCAAAGGCACUUCUCUCCCAUCUUCCACAGCAACAGCACUGUAACGAAAAGGGAUUGCUUUAUUAGAAGAAUAAGGCACAGGGCCGGCAAGCUUGAUAAUCAGGGAAGGAGAAACCUUCUGCUUACUACCAUCAUAUUUAAUGAUAACAGGCUCAGGUACUCGAAACACUGGAGAAAUGACGUUGACCUCUGGCUCAACCUCGUCAACAUUCCUAUUCUGGAGGAUCUCAAUGGUUCCCUCAUCCAGCAAUUCCUGAAGAUCUCGACGCACUUAGCGACAACCCAAUCUGUUAAUAGAGCAGAUUCGGCAUUUGUCAUGGUCGUUCUCCAGAUGACUGUAGUCACACAGCAGACGGUGCAACUCAACAAGAGACUGUCGAAUAUGGCUAACAUAUUUGACCUUGUAUUUGCCAGGGCAACCCUGGACCAUGUUAACAGAUUUCCCAUGCUCGGGCAAUGGGUUCUUUGUAACAUUAGGGCCUGCGUCCUCAAAGCUCAGAAUACCGCAUCUCAUAAGGUCUUGAACCUUAGUCUUCAGCUGAAAACAAUUCUCUAUGUCAUGCCCGGGAGCACCCGAAUGAUAAGCACAACGAAGAUCGGGCUUAUACCACCACUGAGGGUUAGAAGGUAUAGCCGGAGGAUCUCUCGGAGUAAUCAAUUUCCGCUCUAUCAAAGAGGGAUACAGUUCUGCAUAUGUCAUCGGAAUCGGAUCGAAAGUGAUCUUCUUCCUCUCAUAACUCGCACUGGCUUGAUUACUGUUGUUGCGAGGUUGAUAGGCCUGCUGCCGAGGGCGAUGUUGUUGUUGCUGAUACUGUUGGGACUGCUGCUGUUGAUUAUUGUGCUGAUAUUGCUGAUUGUCACGGAAAACAAGUGCUACAUGAGCCACCUGAUGUUGAUUACCGGCUGAACGCACAGGCUUCCUCCUCACGGAGGGUCUUCUGGGUUUAACAUGGGAUUGCACAGCAUGUGCCUCCCCAUCUUUCUUCUUCGCAAACGCCCCAUAACGUUUGGUAGAAGAGCCUUCAUCUCUGGAUAGCCGUCCUUCACGGACUCCUUCCUCUAGUCACAUCCCCAUGUUCACCAUUUCAGUGAAAUCAGAGGGAGCACUAGCGAUCAUCCGCUCAUAAUAAAAUGAACUCAAAGUAUUAAAAAAGAUUUUGGUCAUUUCUUUCUCUUCUAGCGGAGGAGUAAUCUGAGCUUCCAACUCACGUCACCUCUGGGCGUACUCCUUGAACGUUUCCUUAUCCUUCUGAGACAUGGCCCUGAGCUGAUCCCGAUCGGGAGCCAUAUCAACGUUGUAUUUGUACUGCUUGACGAUGGCUUCGCCAAGGUCGUUGAAGGAACGGAUGUUCGCACUGUCCAAACUCAUAUACCAACGCAGUGCAGCACCGGAUAGACUGUCCUGGAAAUAAUGGAUAAGCAGUUGAUCAUUCUCAGUUUGAGUUGACAUCUUCCUGGCGUACAUCACCAGGUGACUGAGAGGGCAAGUAUUCCCUUUGUAUUUCUCAAAGUCAGGGACUUUGAAUUUCACCGGAAUCUUGACAUUGGGAACCAAGCACAACUCGGCAGCAAAUUUCCCAAACAAAUCCUUUCCUCGAAGGGUCUUCAAUUCCUUGCGCAGCUCAAGGAAUUGGUCAUUCAUCGCGUCCAUCUUCUCAUGAACAUCUGGGCCCUCAGACGGCUCAGAAUGAUAGAUGGUGUCGUCUACUCUAGGAACGGUAUGCACGACAGGAGGAGGAACAGCAAGGAUCGGGCUAGAUGCCGGCAAGGAAGCAAAAGUUGGAGCAGGAAUCUCAGGCAUAAAGUUGGGAGGCAUCCCCCACGGAAACCCGGACGGCAUGGCUGUUGGCACGAAGUGGGCACUGGCAGCUGGCACUGUCGAAGAGACAAUCUCAGAAAUAACAGUCCUCUGGGAAGGAGUUGCAGGCGUCGGAGACGACUGAUUCUGAGCAGCCAGGAAUUGCUCCAUCAGAGCAGUGAGUCUGGCGACUUCAUCCUUCAGCUCACGGUUCUCUUGCUCGAGAUGAUCCAUCACUCUUGCAGAGUUGGCUCUGGUGUAGUACCGAUGAGUCAGCUUGUCUUCAAAAUAAAUGAAGAGCACAGAAUUAGGCCACAGACAAGAAGACCGGAACAAACACAUGCUUAUGCGCAUGAUGCAUGCAAUGCUCGUGCAUAUGAUUUAUUUUUAUAUUUCAAGGAACUUUUAGGGUUUUAUUUGCAGAUUUUGAAAUGUUAAACAUUUUGAAUUCAAUGGAAAAAAAUCUCAUCAAAUAUCAUCAAGACAAAGAAGUACAACAUUGUCAAUCAUAUACAAGGGAAAAGGAAAAUAAACAUCCUAUGGAUCCCUAGAAGCCCGAGACGCAGGAAGACGAGAUGCAAGAAGCCUCUUCACCUCUCUCUCGUAGGCUGCUUCCAUAUCUGCCUUCUCCUUGGCGAGUCGAUCAUACUUCCUUUUCCAGAAUUUGGAAGACUGAGGAAGUAAAGAAGUCCAGGCAUCAUCAGGAUCAUCAAUGACUUGAUGCUCGAGGAACUCAAUCAGAGCGUCCUUCUCCUUGAUCUGCUGCAGCAACUCUUCACGUUCAUGGAUCCAGGCACGCGAACGGUCUUCGUCUCUCAACUCCUCUACUCCUUGAUUAGGGAGGGUUGAAGGCCCAGCCAUAAUCAUAGGUGUAGGUCUCGGAUAGUGUUAAUACCUCAGGAUUGGCAUUAAUUUUAGAAAACAAAUAAUGUAAUCACCUCUGUUGUUUUAAUAUGUUGGGUUGAAGAAAUUCAACAUCUGGACCAACAUGUCAUGUACGAUGUCACGACAUCAGGUCUGUGACAUCGCACAUGUGUNGAAGAACUUAGAACCCGGAGUUGUGUAGUAUUGAACCGAGGGGCGUACGCCUAUUGGGACAAUACGAAGACUCCACCUAGAGUAGAUCUGUUUGGAGUUCCCAUCACAAUAUGGCUAGCCCAUCAUUCCGGUGGAGGUUCUAAACACGAUCCGUGACUCUAGGGACCUCGCCUUAAAACCAAGUUUUGUUUUCAUAAUCGGAGAUUAUGUAGUAUUGAACCGAAGGGUGUACACCCUGUUCGUACAAUACGAGAAUCCCACUUAGAUUAGAUUAUUUCAGAACUCCCAUCACAAUGUGGCUAGCCCACCAUUGCGAGGAAGUUUUGAACUUGAUCCGUGAGUCUAAGUUCCUUCCUUGAAAACAUAACUUUAGAACCUACCUUUGGGGAAUUUCUUGUGAUCAGGAAAACCCAUACUUCUUCCUGUUAUUCUGAUGUACUCGACAUGUGGAUAAUCUUGAGUCUGUAUUCCUCUGUGAAAAAUCAUGGCAAAAAUUCAUGCAUUUGCAUAUCAUCAACAUGCAUUGCAUUUCAUCUUCCAGAAACAAAAGCUUACACCAUACUCUACCCUUUGUCCAGUAAACAAUGGCAAAAAUUCAUGCAUUUGCAUAUCAUCAACAUGCAUUGCAUUUCAUCUUCCAGAAACAAAAGCUUACACCAUACUCUACCCUUUGUCCAGUAAACGCUGACUACUCGACACCGGUACGAGACAUGCCGCAACUACAAGAUGACACUCGAACAGUUGGAAGCAAAUCAAGUUUCAAUGAGGACUGACAUCGACUCCAUGCAAGCAAAGAUGGAUCGCUUGCUAGAAACUAUGUUGCUCUUAGCCCAGAAGGAGAAGAAUGCUGAGACUAAUGUUGAAGCUAGGAAAGUUGCUGCCCAGUUUGGAUCGCCAUCGCUCAGUAUCCCUGGAGUGAUUGACCUUGAUGGUAACUCUAAUCAACCUAGAGAAGGACCGAUCCACAUUCCUGUUCCCAUGGACAACGUGAACCCCCACGAGCAUUCUGCUACAUCUGCUCGACACGGAUCAGUGAUGGGUGAUGAAGAUCCAUAUGACGCCUUCUUCAUGCCACAACUUGUCAAACCUGUUGUUGGAGGUCUCCCAGACCCAGCUGUUGAUAGACUCCAUGCUUUGGAGGAAAAAUUUAAGUCCUUGGAGGUUCACACUACUCCCGGUUUGGACGCCGUUGAUAUGUGCUUGGUNNNNNNNNNNNNNNNNNNNNNNNNNNNNNNNNNNNNNNNNNNNNNNNNNNNNNNNNNNNNNNNNNNNNNNNNNNNNNNNNNNNNNNNNNNNNNNNNNNNNNNNNNNNNNNNNNNNNNNNNNNNNNNNNNNNNNNNNNNNNNNNNNNNNNNNNNNNNNNNNNNNNNNNNNNNNNNNNNNNNNNNNNNNNNNNNNNNNNNNNNNNNNNNNNNNNNNNNNNNNNNNNNNNNNNNNNNNNNNNNNNNNNNNNNNNNNNNNNNNNNNNNNNNNNNNNNNNNNNNNNNNNNNNNNNNNNNNNNNNNNNNNNNNNNNNNNNNNNNNNNNNNNNNNNNNNNNNNNNNNNNNNNNNNNNNNNNNNNNNNNNNNNNNNNNNNNNNNNNNNNNNNNNNNNNNNNNNNNNNNNNNNNNNNNNNNNNNNNNNNNNNNNNNNNNNNNNNNNNNNNNNNNNNNNNNNNNNNNNNNNNNNNNNNNNNNNNNNNNNNNNNNNNNNNNNNNNNNNNNNNNNNNNNNNNNNNNNNNNNNNNNNNNNNNNNNNNNNNNNNNNNNNNNNNNNNNNNNNNNNNNNNNNNNNNNNNNNNNNNNNNNNNNNNNNNNNNNNNNNNNNNNNNNNNNNNNNNNNNNNNNNNNNNNNNNNNNNNNNNNNNNNNNNNNNNNNNNNNNNNNNNNNNNNNNNNNNNNNNNNNNNNNNNNNNNNNNNNNNNNNNNNNNNNNNNNNNNNNNNNNNNNNNNNNNNNNNNNNNNNNNNNNNNNNNNNNNNNNNNNNNNNNNNNNNNNNNNNNNNNNNNNNNNNNNNNNNNNNNNNNNNNNNNNNNNNNNNNNNNNNNNNNNNNNNNNNNNNNNNNNNNNNNNNNNNNNNNNNNNNNNNNNNNNNNNNNNNNNNNNNNNNNNNNNNNNNNNNNNNNNNNNNNNNNNNNNNNNNNNNNNNNNNNNNNNNNNNNNNNNNNNNNNNNNNNNNNNNNNNNNNNNNNNNNNNNNNNNNNNNNNNNNNNNNNNNNNNNNNNNNNNNNNNNNNNNNNNNNNNNNNNNNNNNNNNNNNNNNNNNNNNNNNNNNNNNNNNNNNNNNNNNNNNNNNNNNNNNNNNNNNNNNNNNNNNNNNNNNNNNNNNNNNNNNNNNNNNNNNNNNNNNNNNNNNNNNNNNNNNNNNNNNNNNNNNNNNNNNNNNNNNNNNNNNNNNNNNNNNNUGCUCAACAACGUCAACCUAAUCAGCAGAGGGCAAGGAGGCUAGAAAGACAUUUUGAUCCUUUGCCAGUAUCAUACAGCAAGAUCCUCCCCUACUUGCUAAAGGAUGGAUCGGUUGUUCUGAAGGAGCUAACACCUGCAACUCCACCAUAUCCUCCAGGCUACGACGCCAAUGCUCACUGUGAGUAUCACAUGGGUGCCCCAGGGCACACAAUAGAAAACUGUAAGGCUUUCAAGCACAAGGUUCAAGACUUGGUUGACAGUAAAGCACUUACAUUCACGCCAGUGAGGCCAAAUGUCGCAACAAAUCCCAUGCCAGCGCAUGCAGAGUCGAGUGAAGCUCGAAGAUAAUGUUCCUCGCCAACCUGAUCAACAGAGCAAACUCCGAUGAAGAAUCAAGAGAUGAAGUCUGUUGCUUUGAAUGAAGGCAAUCAUUAUGCCAUUUUUACCAUUUUGCAUUCUUGUAAUUUGAUCUUGUUUGUUUUAGUACUGAAUGCUUUAAACAUUGUCAUUUGUAUUUGGUCUUAUUAAUGGGAUGAUUAUGCAUGCUUUGAACCAAUCUUUCAUAUUCACUCAUCUAUCACAUUCACAAAUCACAAACACAUACUUUUUCACCUCACUUUCUUUCAUCACACUAUUGUUAGUAAAUGUUGGAAGGAGGAUGACGAAAACAAAAUACUCAUAAUUGCUGAUUGUAUGCUUUCGGAUAAAACCUUGCUGAUGAUGUACAGGCAUUGUUUCAAAUCCCCAAACACUGGAGAGAUAAGAAGUUAAUCCCUAGUCAACCACUUCGAGCCUAGAAGUAGGAGUUUCUUUCGGAUCUACAAACCCUUACGCUUAACCUGGGGCAGGGUAGAAAUCCCCAAACACUGGAGAGAUAAGAAGUUAAUCCCUAGUCAACCACUUCGAGCCUAGAAGUAGGAGUUUCUUUCGGAUCUACAAACCCUUACGCUUAACCUGGGGCAGGGUAGUGUUCAGUUAAUCCGAUUACGCAUCCAAAUUACAAGAUGAAAUAUCCCAUGCGAGGAUCAACCACACAAUAUUCUUCACACACAUCCUGAAGUGUCGAAGGAACCAUACAAAUCCAAAUUUUAUGUCGGUUGUUCUUCAAUGACCAAUGGCUUGGCAAUCACAAUUUCCAAAAAAAAUCAAAAAAAUCAAUCAAAGAAAGAGCCCGCUAAGUCCAACACCCUGAAAGGAGACUUAGGCAAAAACAGGGGCAAUCCCGAUGGAUUAAAGCUUCAAACAAAGCGGUCCAUGCAAAAGUUAGGGAUCAAAACAAAAAACAAGAGAGACAAUGAAAGUCCUCAACAAAGCAAAACAAGAUUCAGUGACCACCAUACUAAAAUCAAAGGGUCACCGAUAUCCAAAAAACGAAAUAAGGUGGCUGCCAUUCUAAGAAACCUUGAAUCACCAUCUUUGUCCUUACACCUGCAAAAGUGAAUGUGUGUGAGUUAACUGAACGUAGGAUUGGGAGAUCAUCAUGAAGAAGGGGCGGGUUAAAAUAAACUUUGAGCCUUAUAUCCUUUUGUUUCAAUAACCAUGAACCAAGCCACGUUACAACCUUCAAAAGACCUAAUUGAAGUAGGGUUUAUUCUGAAAGCAUAUUAUAGCAAGGUUGAGUAAACUGACUCCUAGAUAUUUGCUAAUAUUCUCUUCUCACCAUAUCACUCACACACCAGCUAAAUCAAGCACCGCGAUUGGACACAUGAUCCACUCGUCAUACACUACCACAACACUCCCGAGUGAAUGAUUGUUUUUCAAAACUUGCAUAACUAUUGCAUUAACAUCACCAUUUCUUGAAUAAUAAUUCUUAAUUGUCAGUCAGCACUUGACAUCAAAGAAAUUCCAACAAGAGGCAAAUCAAGGGGCACUUGAUCGUUGGUGCUGACACGAAUCAAGACCAUCCUAUGAAUCAGGGGCAUGACAUCUUUUGAUUACAUUGACAUAAGAAGUAGUCAGUAUAAGACAAAUCUCCAAGCAUCAGUUGAUCAGGGAGGAAAAGCACUUCAAUAUUCAACCAAUCAGGGGCAAGUCCUUCAGAGGCUAAUCAGGGGCAUACCAUUGCCAGAAUCAAACAUUGAAGGAAUCAAACUCAGAUCAUGUCAUGGGAUAAUCACUUCUAAAGGUUUCCUUUCAAGGAGAAUUCCUUUGAACACCUUACAACCAGGGGCAAGACAGGUUGCAAGGGGCAAAUUCCCUUCAUAUCUUCAAGUCUGUCAAGCAGAUUUCAUCAGACACUAGUAAUUGCUUGAAUCCACAACCAAAAUGUCAAAAGUUCAUACCAGUACAAUAUCAUACCUUGACAAGAAUCCUUGGGGCACAUCAAAGGCAUAACCAACAUGCGUUGAUCACGUCGCUAUGCUCAGUUACAGGCUGGCCAAACACUUCAGAAGAAGAACUGAGAUCUUCUCGAAGACAAAUACAAUAUAUCAGCAAGAAGUCAAACUUGGGGCACCAAGAGUAUCCGCAUCUAUUGCGUGUUCAUCACAUCAUCAACUACCGAGUGUCAGGAAGUCAGAUCCUUUCACCAAUCAACAGCUCAAUCCACAUCGACAAUUACCAAAAAAACCAAAGCCCACCUUGCUGACACCCACACAAAAACAAAUACAACCAACACUGGUUUCCAAAAAAUACAUUGCCUUUGAAAAGGGGGGCCAAUCCCAAACAAACCAAUCAUCUUUUGCAUUCAAACAUGCAUCUCAUGCAUCACAUACAUCACCUCAUACAUAACGCAUACAUAUCAUUCAUGUACAUGACACAAAUCAAAAUCCAAGGUGUAGUCGUAGGCAUCCAGGCCAACCCUCAAUUGAGUCAUUGUCACUCCCUCCAAGUGAGUUCCUACCCUACUAUCGGGCGUUCCCCAUUGAGUUACAUUCUUCAACAUUUUGUUGAUAAGACGUUAUCCUCAGCUAAGUCAAGCAAUGUUUCUCCAAACACUUACCUUGUUUCACGUUGAGCAUCCCUCAAUGAGUCAUUUCCUGUGACCUUUUGUUGACAGAAAUGGCAUCUCUCCAGAGAAUAUUGGUUUUGCAACCUUUUGUUGUCGAUACCCUAAGCAAGUCUUAACCAGUAAAGUUCCAACAAUACCCAACAAGUCAGGUUUACUGAACUUUGUCAGUAGCCUUGUUCUCUAAUAUUGUUCUCACUGUCAUCUUUUUGGUGAAAGUCCAUUGAGGAAUAAUAUUAACCAUCACCCUGUUUAUGAUGACCGUUAUCCUUUUGGUAAUGGUAAAUCCUUGACAUUUGUGAUAUAACCGUCAUCCUUUUGAUGUCGAAGAUCCUUGAAGUUUUGGUUCAACCUUCAUCCUUUUGGUGAGUGGUGACCUCUACAAUUAUUACAGCCUACCGUCAUCCUUUUGGUGUCGGCGAUCCUUGUGGUGAUAAGGAUCCUUGUCAUGUUGGUUCAAUCAUCAUCCUUUUGGUGAUGACGUCCAGUUCAAUCUAAUGUAACAGAUGAUGUCCAAAACAGGAUUGAGACAUCGUGCUGAUAACUGUGUAGGAAAACAACAGUAGUGAAUGUUAUGGUGCACAUAACUAAGUGUUCCUCCAUUCUAGGAUGACAUAGAAGGAGAAAUUGUGACAAUGUGAAAGGGUGCACAUUAGUACAGAGUGUAAUAACUGUCUUGCUGUAUUAGGUACAAUGUUAGAUCAGAUGUCAUGACUUGAAGUAGAACAUCUGAAUACUGACUACACCAGAAUUUCAGAUAGUCAUAAGGCAUGAGAUACUCAGAUGCUCUCUUCCUUACCCAAUCAGUAUAUGGCUCCAAAGCAAUGCAGUUCUUCAGACCCAACUCACUCGUACCCUUCUUGUGGAUCUUGCGCCAAGCGCGGACCAUCCUGGCUUUCAGGCCUUGGGGAUCUUUACCCUCCUAAAAGAACACACCUUCUAAUAGAAUGUUAUUAGGUUUAUCCUUUAGGGGGAACCCAAGCUGACGACGUGCUAACGCAUGAUUGUAGCUAAUUCCACCACAUGUACCAAGAAGAGGCACAUUGGAGAAUUCACCAUAAGAGUCAAUAAUCUGAACUCCAUCAUACACGCGAUCAUACCAAGAGAUAUCAUCAUUAGUGAGAGACAUAAGUCUCGUAGACCUCCGUAGACAUCCCUUGUUCUCCUUGAAAGCGACCGUCUGAGGUAAGUGAGAAAUAAACCACUUAUACAACAGAGGCAAACAACACACAAUAGCGCCACCACCCUUUGCAUUCCUCAGAUGCAAAGAGAAGUAAGUGAGAAAUAAACCACUUAUACAACAGAGGCAAACAACACACAAUAGCGCCACCACCCUUUGCAUUCCUCAGAUGCAAAGAGAAAUAGGUAUCACCCAACAGAGUCGGAACGGGAUUAAGAACAAAGAAGAUCCUAAUAGCGUUCCCAUCCACAAAUUUGUCGAUGUUGGGGAACAAACCCAACCCAUAGAUGAGAAGAACAAAUAUGGCCUCAAAGGCAUCCUCACUCAUGGCCUUCCCAUACACUGUAGCUUGAGCGAUGAGGAACUCAGAAGGGAGACCUUGAAUUCCACCUUUGGUAGUCAUAUGAGCUUCAAUCAGGGAUUCAUCUAUGUGCAACAAGUCUGCAAUCUCUCGAGAAGUCGGAAUACUCUCUAAGCCACUGAACGGCACCUGGUCCAGAAUAUGAAUACCCACAAGAUGAGCAUACUCCUCAAGUGUAGGCAAUAGCUGAAUGUCCGGAAAAGAGAAGCAAUGAUACAGAGGAUCAUAGAACUGCACCAAAGUACCCAUCAACCCUUCAUCAACCUGAGUAGUCAGUGUCGUACCCCAAUUUUGUCCGGGCAUUUUUAAUUUCUAGUAGAAUUAAUUUCAUUUCGAUUUUAGCAUCAUACGCAUAGCAUGACAUACAUUGCAUCAUGAAUAACACCUGAAAUGUCAGUCAGAAUAAACUUAUUUGAAGAUACAGAAAAAUCGGUUGAAUCGUCAAAAUUUGAUGAAAUACUGUAUUUUUAAUAAGUAUGUUUUGUCUUGACAAUUUUAGUGUGACCAGUUCUUUUUGUACUCAAUUUCUAUUUUUUUAACUGGUCAAAUAUUUAAAUUUUAGUUAGUUGUAAAUAUUAGUUAUUUAAUUAGAUUUUGGUUAGGUUUUAAUAAUAGUUAAUUUUUAAAUAGUAGUUAGUUUAGAUUUAAUUAUUAGUAAGUUUAUGUUUUAUUCAAGUAAAUAAUAAUUAUAAAAUAUAUAUAUAUAUUACAUUGGAUUCCAAUCCACUAAAAAACAAAAAAAACCACUAUCUCAUUCCCUGCUCCACUCCCAACAGACUCUCUCCACUACUAAUUCCACUCCCAACAAACUCUGAAAAAUCCCCAGCUCAUAUCCUCUCUCACACGUCAAUAACAACCAUCCACUCACAUCUCCCUCUACAAAAAUCUGUCUUCACUCUCUCAUCAAAAACUCACACUCCCAAAAAUAGCUCACAUCCUCUCUCCAUCUAACAACACACAAAAUCAUUCACAAAUCCCUCAGAAAAAUCUCACGCUACAUUCUCACAAAACCAUCGCUUCCCAAACAUCACCUCCAUGCCCAUCAUCAUCGCUUCACAAACCCUCGCCGUAUCCCACCGUCCAAACCCUUCAUCCACCGUCGUACCACCAUAACCGCCGACGCUCCGAAACCCUCAAUAUCUCACUCAAACUUCUUCCAUCGCCAUCACAAAACCAUAGUUUCUCCGCCGACCACAAUCGUCCUUCGAGAUCCAUCACCGAUGAACAGAUCCGAUGCCGGAUCUGCAACUUCAAUCCACUCCUAACGCUGUUAAAGUUAUCACCACGACCUAAAUCGGAAAUAACAUACAUCAAUACUAAGGCAUACAUCGUCCUCCUUGCCGAGCAGAAGAUUAAAAUCCGGUGAAGGUGAUGGAGAUUUGUUUUUUUUACUCACGAAAAGCUGUUAUGAAUUGCACUUGAGGGCCACGAGUAGAAGAUCGGUUUUGAGAGGAAAUCCCAAACAGCGAAGGAAGAACAACACGCCUCCAAAAGACUCGAUUCAAGCAGCUGCAUAUUGCAUCAUGUCUCUGAUUUAGUGUUCGUUGAUUUUCGGUAAUUUCAUUCUGUUUACUGGCUUGAUUCGAAUCCAAGUUUUAGAUUGUGCCGUAUUGUUUUAUCUAUAUUAUGUUGUGCCUUCCACAAAUUGUUGCUUAAAUGACAUAUAUUUUUUUUGUAUGUUUAAGGUUUAUUAGGAAAAUGGAUGUGUUUGAGCUUACUGUAUGAGCUUGUUAAGUGCAAAAUUCUCUUUAUUAUUGCCUCAUUGGAAUGCCGACAUUGAUGUGUUUGAGUUUACGAAGCUUUUUAUGUAAGAUUGAAAUAGCAGCAGCCUGAUUUGUUACUUUAUUAAGAUAGGGAUUGAAAUAUUAUUAUUUAUUAUUCACUUGUUAGAUUAGAGCUUAAGAAUUGUUGUGUGGGAAGUUUGGAAUGAUUGAAAGAGAAGCCCAUUUUUUUCAUUGUUAUGUCGACUAACAUUACCGUGUCAUUGUUAGCUUUUUUUUCAUUUACUGGAUUUUGUUUCACAUGAUAGGGAUGAGCAUUUAGUUUCGGCUACCUUGUAGGAUAAAAUUAGUUAAUAUAUAAACUAAUAUUUUUUUUUUACUCGGUAGGAUAUCAUUGAAUAAAUUACAUGGGUCUUAUUGUUUUAUUAUCAUUAUGUCAUGGUCUAGUGGUCUAGUGAGAACUUUGCAUGUGGUGAAAUGAGUUAAUGAGGACUCUGUUACAAGUUAUAAAUAUUUCAAUUUUAGUUAGCUUCUAAAUAUCUCUAUAGUUAAUAGAUAAUUAUAACAUGAUGAAUAAUAUUGGAUUGUCGUUUAAAGUUCAUUGAUUUAAAUCGAAUUUUACGUGGAUUCGACAAAUCCAUGUCGCUAUACCAUCAAAGUUUCAAUAAAUUAAUUGUAUAUUUUCACCGCGUUUCGAUCUCACAUACGACAUUCCAAUUUCAUUGUCGUUAUGUACAAACCGGUUUUGGAGCACAUUGUAACCAAUUCAAUUUCAUUAUCCAUUCAAACCAAUUUCAAAAAGCACAAAUCAUACAAUUCUCGAUUUAAUAUCGAGCCCCUUUUUAAACACCCUUGUAAGUCGAUUGCUCUUAGCAUCGCCAUCAACCUCANAGAUCCAUCACCGAUGAACAGAUCCGAUGCCGGAUCUGCAACUUCAAUCCACUCCUAACGCUGUUAAAGUUAUCACCACGACCUAAAUCGGAAAUAACAUACAUCAAUACUAAGGCAUACAUCGUCCUCCUUGCCGAGCAGAAGAUUAAAAUCCGGUGAAGGUGAUGGAGAUUUGUUUUUUUUACUCACGAAAAGGUGUUAUGAAUUGCACUUGAGGGCCACGAGUAGAAGAUCGGUUUUGAGAGGAAAUCCCAAACAGCGAAGGAAGAACAACACGCCUCCAAAAGACUCGAUUCAAGCAGCUGCAUAUUGCAUCAUGUCUCUGAUUUAGUGUUCGUUGAUUUUCGGUAAUUUCAUUCUGUUUACUGGCUUGAUUCGAAUCCAAGUUUUAGAUUGUGCCGUAUUGUUUUAUCUAUAUUAUGUUGUGCCUUCCACAAAUUGUUGCUUAAAUGACAUAUAUUUUUUUUGUAUGUUUAAGGUUUAUUAGGAAAAUGGAUGUGUUUGAGCUUACUGUAUGAGCUUGUUAAGUGCAAAAUUCUCUUUAUUAUUGCCUCAUUGGAAUGCCGACAUUGAUGUGUUUGAGUUUACGAAGCUUUUUAUGUAAGAUUGAAAUAGCAGCAGCCUGAUUUGUUACUUUAUUAAGAUAGGGAU
rnacentral:lncRNA from 1 species